rnacentral:rRNA from 1 species
UAGGGAAUCUUCGGCAAUGGACGAAAGUCUGACCGAGCAACGCCGCGUGAGUGAAGAAGGUUUUCGGAUCGUAAAACUCUGUUGUUAGAGAAGAACAAGGACGUUAGUAACUGAACGUCCCCUGACGGUAUCUAACCAGAAAGCCACGGCUAACUACGUGCCAGCAGCCGCGGUAAUACGUAGGUGGCAAGCGUUGUCCGGAUUUAUUGGGCGUAAAGCGAGCGCAGGCGGUUUCUUAAGUCUGAUGUGAAAGCCCCCGGCUCAACCGGGGAGGGUCCUUGGAAACUCAGAGACUUGAGUGCAGAAGAGGGGAGUGGAAUUCCAUGUGUAGCGGUGAAAUGCGUAGAUAUAUGGAGGAACACCAGUGGAGAAUGCGACUCUCUGGUCUGUAAAUGACGCUGAGGCUCGAAAGCGUGGGGAGCAAACCGG